rnacentral:misc_RNA from 1 species
AAAAGUCGUAACAAGGUUUCCGUAGGUGAACCUGCGGAAGGAUCAUUACUGUGGGGGCCCCCCGGGGCCUCUGCCGAGAUAGCACCCCUUGUCUUAUCGAGCACCAACCGUUUCCUCGGCGGGCACGCCCGCCAACGGGGACCAACCAAAAACCUCAACCGCAGUAUCAGAAGUCGAAAACGUACCAAAACAAAAAAUCAAAACUUUCAACAACGGAUCUCUUGGUUCUGG